UACUUUUUCUUGAAAGGUAAUUGCCUUUGCCUAUAUUUUGUCUGCUGCUGCUGUUUUUAUUCCUCAGAUCGCACAUAUCAUGGAUUUUUUUUUUGCAAUGUGGGCUUAGUUUGCGGUCAUAAUGUUCAACUAAUUGUUUGAGAGAUAACAGCUAUUAUUUUAGUCCUAUGAAGCAGAGUUGCUUCUCUGGAUGUUCUCCCCAUGAAUACAAUGGGUUUGAUUUUAAUCAUAAUAUUGAUAUUCUUUUCAGUUCAGCUCAUGGUUUGUCGUAUAAUAAACAAAAGAAUAUUCUUCAGCUUUUAGUUUGUUCAUGUGAUUCACGAUAGUUAUUACCGUGUGUGCAUGUUGUUUAAUAUGUGGUAUGAAAAUAUUGUUUUCUUCUAUUUCUAAUGAAAUUAUGGUUCUAUAAUCCAACACAUUUUUCACCCCUUAACAAAUCAGUGAUAAUCUAAUGGUCUUCUAUAUGGUUGCCUUAAAUCCCAAGUCAAAAAGCUUUUCUUUCUUCUCUUUCUGAUUCCACUGAAUUUUUUCAAAAGUAUUAUACCAUGAUGUGCUCUGAUGGAUGGAUAUGGCAAAGAGAAAAAGAUAGCCUGCUCUUGGUUGGUUCUUAUUUGACCUGACUAAUUAAUUUGUGAAUGAGCAGUUAGGUUGUGAAAUAUUUUGACCCCACCUCGAGUCUCCAAAUGCUUGACGUGUCUUUGUUUUGAUUUAGGGACCCCGUGCCACCUAUCGUCACCGAGCUCCUCUGCAUCCACCAUGUCCCUCCUCGUCAUGUGUGGUGGCCAGAAGGCUCGCUUUACUGGAAGCGAGACAGACAAAGAGGCCAAGUCAUAUGCGCCAUCGUCGCCCAAGUUGUGCACUGCCAUAGAGACGAACAAGGAGGGGCCAUCGCCAUCAUCCUUUCCCCUCAGUUUCCACAACAGAGCCCCUCAAACGCCACUGAGAGUCGACCUCGACGACGUCGUCAUUCUCUCCUCAGGCUUGCCCCUUGCUAUGUAUAGCAUCAGUGAUCGAUGAUCGACUGAGACUACACAAAAAGAAAAUAAAACUCCACUUGAUGUCGAAGUCGAAACAAUGCAGGACGACAGGACGGAGGCGCAUCGGUGGAAAACUGGUCCUUGCUCCGGUUCAUCAGGGAGGACAACGGUCAGGGGAACAUCUGCAAGGCCUCAUCUACGGUUUCUUCUUCGCUGAAGAUGUUGGCGUGCCUUCGUCGGGCUAUCUCUCUCUGUGGAAUCCUGCUACGCGGCGAGGGCGGAGAUCAGGUUGCUGCCGCAGUUCACAAAUGCCAUGGUCUGAAUUGACCGGUCAUAUUGGGCUCACAGGUUAAUGUCUGUUUUUGUCCUUGACUGAUUGCUUUUUCAAGGUGGUUUCAUAUAUUUGUUGGGAGUAACCAUUCCGAGGUUGCUCUACAGAAGAAGUAGCUCUAUUUUAUAGGACUGCUGUAACAAACCAGGAAUCUAGACAAUAAGCUUCAUCAGCAGCAGCUUCCCUGGUGUAUGUACUUGUUUGUUUUUCUUGCCUCUCUUUCUGUGAUGUUUUAAUACUGUCCGUCUUUAUCAUAAUUGUUUAUAGAUUAUGAAUUAUGAAUUGCUAAUACAACAGUGGACAUCAGAACUGUAUUCUUGAGCUCCCAUUCUUAAUUGGACACCACAAGAGUACACCAGUUUGCUCGACCUUUGUGAGCCCAUCACGGUUCUCA